rnacentral:rRNA from 1 species
ACGAACGCUGGCGGCGUGCUUAACCCAUGCAAGUCGAACGGUGAAGCGCCUUCCUUUUUGGUGGGUGUGGAUGAGUGGCGAACGGGUGAGUAACACGUGAGUAACCUGCCCCCUUCUUCUGGAUAACCGCAUGAAAGUGUGGCUAAUACGGGAUAUUCUGGGUCUGUCGCAUGAUGGGUCUGGGAAAGAUAUUGUUUCGGUGGGGGAUGGGCUCGCGGCCUAUCAGCUUGUUGGUGGGGUGAUGGCCUACCAAGGCGGUGACGGGUAGCCGGCCUGAGAGGGUGGACGGUCACACUGGGACUGAGACACGGCCCAGACUCCUACGGGAGGCAGCAGUGGGGAAUAGUGCACAAUGGGCGCAAGCCUGAUGCAGCGACGCCGCGUGAGGGAUGGAGGCCUUCGGGUUGUGAACCUCUUUCGCCAGUGAAGCAGGCCUGCCUCGUUUGUGGGUGGGUUGACGGUAGCUGGAGAAGAAGCGCCGGCUAACUACGUG